AAAAAUAAUAAAUCUCUCUCUUUAUUUAUAUGUAGACAUUUAUAUACAUAUAGGCUUUAUAUGCAUUUGUAUACAGUCAAGUGCUACAUAUAGAUAUUUCAGUCAAUGACAGCCUGUAUACAUGGUGGUUAUCCCAUAAGAUUAUAACACCAUGUUUUUACUGUACCUCUUCUAUGUUUAGAUACACAAAUACUUACCAUUGUGCUCCAAUUGCCCGUGCCAUUCGGUCCAGUAAUGUGCCACAUGAGUGUGUAGCCUAGGAGCAAUAGGCUAUACUGUACAGCCUAGGUGUGUAGUUGUGUAGUAGCUGUAUCAUCUAGGUUUGUGUAAAUACACUCUAUGAUGUUCACACAAUGAUGAAGCCCCCAGUAACACAUUUCUCAGAACAUUUCCCCAUCAUUAAAUGAUACAUGGCUAUAUGUAAAAUUGGUUCUAUUUCUCCAGAGAAUCUUCACUAAUACAGAGCUCCUCUUCUGAAUUUGCCUUAUUUUACUUUUAAAUAAAAGAAGUAGGCCAGGCACGGGGCUCACGCUUGUAAUUCCAAAAACGGGGUUUUCUUUUUUAUUUCAUGUUCAAGGUGCAAAUUUUCCAAACUUUUAUACUCUACUUCCUUUUGAACAGUUUGCUGCUUAGAAAUUACUUCUGCUGGAUACCCUAAAUCAUGUCUCUCAAGUUCAAAGUUCCACAGAUCUCUAUGGCAGGGGCAAAACACCACCAGUCUCUUUACUAAAGCAUUGCAAGAGUCACCUUUGCUCCAGUUUCCAACAAGUUCCUCAUCUCCAUCUGAGGCCACCUCAGCCUGGACUUCAUUGUCAUAUCACUAUCAGCAUUUUGGUCAAAACCAUUCAACAAGUCUCUCAGAAGUUCCAAACUUUCCCACAUCUUCUUAUCUUCUUCUGAACCCUCCAAACUGUUCCAACCUCUGCCUGCUACCCAGUUCCAAAGUCGCUUGCCUUCUACAUUUCCGGGUAUCCUUAUAGCAGUGCCUCACUUCCUCGGUACUAAUUUACUGUAUUAGUCCAUUUUCAUGCUGCUAUGAGGAAAUAUUCGAGACUGGGUAAUUUAAAAAGAAAAGAGGUUUAAUUGACUCACAGUUUCACAUGGCUGGGGAGGCCUCAGGAAGCUUACACUCAUUGCAGAAGGUGCAUUCUUCACAGGCUGGCAGGAGAGAAAAUGAGUGCCAGGAGAGGAAAUGCUGGAUGGCUAUAAGCCCAUCAGAUCUCAUGAGAACUCACUCACUGUCAGGAGAACAGCAUGGGGAAACGACCCCCAUGGGUCCCUCCUAUGACAUGUGGGGAUUAUGGGAUUACAAUUCAAGAUGAGAUUUGUGGGGGGACACAAAGCCAAACUAUAUCAUGCUACGUAAAAGUGGAGGUUGUAGCAUAAAGCUUCUUUGUACAUCUUUAAGAUAAUAAGCCACCUGUCUUCUGUCAUCUGUCUUCUAUUUUGAUCUGACUGAAAGACAUUGCUAAGCUAGUUUGCAAAGCAGCUCCCACCUCUAACUCUUCCCUCCUACUCCUUCAUAGUUCAGGGAGGCUCCAUUUCCAAAACGAGUGUGGUCAUUGUACUUAUGGCCACUAGGUGGCAGGCCAGACCCAUCCAAUAACACCACAGCCUUAAUCCUCACUGGCUGCAAUGAUUUUCCUUUUCAAUCAGUUAUUAAAAAUAGUGUCACUUUUUGGUAAACAAAACCACAGAAUUUUAACAAUAGAGAAAAAAUAAGAAGUAAGCUUGUUCAUUGUCAAUUUUUAUUUUUAAAUCUUCCCCCAAAGGAGGAAGAUACAUUGCACAUUUUUGUUGACUUUGGUGUCUCUUUCAGCAUCUAGAUGAAAUACUAACACUUCUGUUUCAGAAGAGUAGAUAUAUUUCCUCUGUUCCAAAAGGUAACAGUGGGCUGGGUGUGGUGGCUCACACCUGCAAUCCCAGAGCUUUGGGAGGCCAAAGCGGGCAGAUUACUUGAGGCCAGGAGUUCGAGACCAGACUGGGCAACAGGGUGAAACCCCAUCUCUACUAAAAAUACAAAAAUUAGCUGGGUGUGGUAGUGCAUGCUUGCAGUCUCAGCUCCUCGGGAGGCUGAGGGGCAGGGGAAUUGCUUGAACCCGGAGGGUGGAGGUUGUAGUGAGCUGAGAUUGCACCACUGCACUCCAGCUUGGGUGACAGAGUAAGAUUCUGUCUAAAACAAAAAGUAACAGUGAUGCAGAUCCAAGAAUGCAAUUACUGAAAGAAAUAGAAGCACCUAAAAAAAUAAUAAUACAACAUAGAUUUGUCCCUUCAUUUGUUUUGAGUAGAAAAAAAGGGGAAGAGAAAGGAGAACAAAGAAAGAUUUGAUUAAUGUUUUAAUCCUAGUCAUUUUUUACACCUCUGAUAGUAUGUGUGUUUACCGUAAGAUGAAUUGGCACACACAACUCACUUCAAAUUUUGUCAAUAGAUUCACUUCAAUCCAAAAAGCAGGUAUCAAUUAUAAAUUCCACUAACAAUCUCUGCUAUUAGAACUGAGUUUGUUCUCACUCCCUCACUCUAUAGAUUGUUGUAAAUUGACAAAUAACUUCCUUAUGCUAAGGUGGAUAGAGGAGGAUGAGGCAGGAAAAGGAAAAGGAAGUCAGCAUUUCUGGAACAUCUUUUCUCAAAUAUUCCUUGUUUAUUUGGGAGAUUAUGUUUCUUCUGAGGAUUAAAAAAAGAUUAGAAGUUAGAUUGGUAUUGUCUUAGGGGGAAAACAGACAAAUAGAAUGAUAAUAAUAGAACUCUGUUGCCAUAGAAUAUACAUCUAAGUAAUACUGUUUAUAAUGUUCCAAUUUACUAGAGGUUGUGCAUAUAAGCAAUCCUCUGUUUAUCUCCCCAUCCUCCAA
rnacentral:lncRNA from 1 species